GGCUGCGCUCCUUCUGCACCAGGAGACGCAGAUUGUGGGCAACAUUGAAAAGGUGGGAGAUCUGAAAAAACAUAACAAAUGUAAACUGAGGAAAACAAUACUGUGUUCUCCUCCUAUAGAGCAGUGUUCUCCUCCUAUAGAGCUGUUCUAUAGAGCUGUGUUCUUCUCCUUUAGAGCUGUGUUCUGUGGUGUUCUCCUCCUAUAGAGCUGUGUUCUAUAGAGCUCUGUUCUCCUAUAGAGCACUGUUCUAUAGAGCCGUGUUCUCCUCCUAUAGAGCUGUGUUCUAUAGAGCUGUGUUCUCCUCCUAUAGAGCUUUGUUCUAUAGAGCUGUGUUCUCCUCCUCUAGAGCCGUGUACUCCUCCUAUAGAGCCGUGUUCUCUGUACCUGCUCCUUGCUGAACUGUCUUACUGACAGGAUGUGCUGUCCCACCAGCGGGUGCAGUAAAGGGGAGAUCUGCAGGUGGGAGACGGGGAGUGACUGCCCGGCCUGGGGAGAGAGGAGGCGUGACAGCGGAGGGGGGUGGCUGUAGCUGUCCCCAGCAGCCAGACUGACAGGAACCAUCAGCUCUGCAAAUAACAAGCAUUUAAAACAUUGUUUAUUGAUGCUAUGAAUCACAGCUCAAAACACGUGCAGCCAUUCC
ensembl:lncRNA